rnacentral:rRNA from 1 species
UACGUAGGCAGCGAGCGUUGUUCGGAGUUACUGGGCGUAAAGCGUGCGUAGGCGGUGUCUUAAGUUUGUUGUGAAAUCUCCCGGCUCAACUGGGAGGGUGCGCCGAAUACUGAAUGACUAGAGUGCGGGAGAGGAAAGUGGAAUUCCUGGUGUAGCGGUGAAAUGCGUAGAUAUCAGGAGGAACACCGGUGGUGUAGACGGCUUUCUGGACCGUAACUGACGCUGAGACACGAAAGCGUGGGUAGCAAACAGG